rnacentral:rRNA from 1 species
CAGCCGCCGCGGGAAUACGGAGGGAGCUAGCGUUGUUCGGAAUUACUGGGCGUAAAGCGCACGUAGGCAGCUUUGUAAGUUAGAGGUGAAAGCCUGGAGCUCAACUCCAGAACUGCCUUUAAGACUGCAUCGCUUGAAUCCAGGAGAGGUGAGUGGAAUUCCGAGUGUAGAGGUGAAAUUCGUAGGUAUUCGGAAGAACACCAGUGGCGAAGGCGGCUCACUGGACUGGUAUUGACGCUGAGGUGCGAAAGCGUGGGGAGCGAACAGGAUUAGAUACCCCAGUAGUCCCUGUCUCUUAUAC